rnacentral:rRNA from 1 species
AUUGAACGCUGGCGGCAGGCCUAACACAUGCAAGUCGAGCGGAUGAAGGGAGCUUGCUCCUGGAUUCAGCGGCGGACGGGUGAGUAAUGCCUAGGAAUCUGCCUGGUAGUUGGGGAUAACGUCCGGAAACGGGCGCUAAUACCGCAUACGUCCUUAUGGAGAAAGUGGGGGAUCUUCGGACCUCACGCUAUCAGAUGAGCCUAGGUCGGAUUAGCUAGUUGGUGGGGUAAAGGCCUACCAAGGCGACGAUCCGUAACUGGUCUGAGAGGAUGAUCAGUCACACUGGAACUGAGACACGGUCCAGACUCCUACGGGAGGCAGCAGUGGGGAAUAUUGGACAAUGGGCGAAAGCCUGAUCCAGCCAUGCCGCGUGUGUGAAGAAGGUCUUCGGAUUGUAAAGCACUUUAAGUUGGGAGGAAGGGAAGUAAGUUAAUACCUUGCUGUUUUGACGGUACCAAAAGAAUAAGCACCGGCUAACUUCGUG